rnacentral:rRNA from 1 species
CCCUUAGAUGUUCUGGGUUGCACGCGCGCUACACUGAAGCUAUCAACACGUUUUCCCUCCCUGAGAAGGGCGGGUAACCUUUUGAAUCAGCUUCGUGGUAGGGAUCGGGGCUUGCAAUUGUUCCCCGUGAACCAGGAAUUCCUAGUAGACGCGAGUCAUAAGCUCGCAUCGAUUAAGUCCCUGCCCUUUGUACACACCGCCCGUCGCUACUACCGAUUGAACGUUUUAGUGAGGCAUUUGGACCGACGCAUCUCAGUUUAACCGCUGGUUUGUGUUGGAAAGACUUCCAAACUUGAGCGUUUAGAGGAAGUAAAAGUCGUAACA